CAAGGACAGAGGGACAGAGCAGCUGGGAGUGGGGGCUGCCUGGUGAGCUCUGGCUUGAGCCCUGUUUCCCUCUGGCUGGCUUUACUUCUCUUUCAGGGAACUACCUGGGUAGGAUGGGAGUAUUUCACAUCUGGAUAGAAAGUUAGACUGGGUACACAGGCAGUUCAAUAAAUAUGAGGAAAGGGGGCGGAAGGGUAACCAGGCAAAGAAGGAAGAAUAGCAAAGUGGCAGCAGGUGAAUACCAGUUAGAAACCAGGGAAAGCCGAAGUCAAGGUCACAGUCUGGCUGGCCCCAGAGCCUUUGCCUCUCCAAACCCUUUCGUCCUUAUCCAAGACCCAGUUCUUCCAGGAAUGUUUCUGUAACUACAACAGCGUCCACUGCUCUCCUCUCCACUCCACAGCUAUAUGUAUAUUACCACACAGUCAACCGCCACGAAGCAAUGUUGAAUCAACCUUGAAUCCAUAUAUUUCAUUAGUCCCACAAGAUAACUGAACUAAAAAAAGCAUUGCCAUCACAGCACCUGUGUGUUAUACGUGCUGUGAGGCAUUUAAAACUAGAGCACACAGAGAGCUCAGAUGGUAAGACUGCGUGCCACACUAGUGUUCAGUCCCAGGACACAAACACACACCCUGCACACUGAGUAAAUGUAUAAAAACGAGUACAGCACACAAAAUCAUCUGCAUCGGUGAGUGAUAACAAAUGGCCGUCACUUCGUUCAUUAUACUCUGGGGUAUGCUUUCUACUUGUGAGAGAUGUUGAUUGUAAAACAGUUGCUGGGCUAUUCCAGGGCAGCCUCACCUGUCUUCUACUUAGUCUCUUGCCCUGGAGAGGCCAUGUCCAGUAACUGAUCCAUGACAUCUGGGCUUGUGUUAGUAGAUGCUCUGAUGUCCAUACAAAGAUGAAAUCACCGAAUGAUGCGUUUCUCAGACUCUGUCCCCAUGGUUAAACAGUGUCCCCUCCCCAUGUGAGCGUGUGUUCUGAGAACUUCAUUCUUCAGGUCUUCUGUUCUUCUAUUACCUAGUUUACUCCUCAUAGACAGGAGAGCAGCACUUUGAGCUCAGCACUCUCAUUUUAUACACAAAGAAGUUAAAUCUGGAUCCUGGGAGACACUUGCUCCAGAUUAUUUGGCUACUACAUCCUCUACCACUUGAGUCCCUGGCUUUGCAGCUUCUAGCCCAGUGUCAGCAACUACACAUGGCCUGACCCACUCAUUUGUUAUCUGAUGGAUCCAGCUGAUUACAAAAUGGCUCUCCCUCUGCCCCCCCGACUACCACCAGGCUGUAUGCACCCCAGGGAUAAGGAUCGUUCGUGUUUGUUCUGCAUCCCUUAAAAUGUCCACCUUGGGCCAGGCGGUGGCACACCCCUUUAAUCCCAGCACUUGGAAGACAGAAACAGGUAGGUCUCUGUGAGUUUGAGGCCAGCCUGGUCUACAGAGUGAGAUUUAAGACAGCCAGUACUGUUACAUAGAGAAACCUUGUCUGUAAAAACAAAAACAAACAAAAAAACUACCUUGUAUGUUUAUGCUCUGUUUAUUCUGCUGGUUAAUUAAAUUAGUAUCUAUGCAGGUACACUAUAAACAGGGAAGUAGAAUUAUCUGCAAAUUAUUAUCAUUGAAAGGGAAUUCUUACUGAAAUUGAAAUUAUUUAUUAAAAGUAAAGCAGGUAAGUUGAUUGAAAGUGGUACCUGCUACACUAGUUGGGAUUAGAAUUUCAGGACGAGCUGUCUGCUGAGAUGUCCUGCUAGAGCAGGAAAGGAGAUGCCAACAUAGCAUCUCCUCAGCCUGUCAGAAACACUGAUGGGAACCACAAGACCAUGUACCACUAACUAGCACAGCACUGUAGCAAGAAUGUGAAAGAUGGCCAUCCGCUCAAGGCUUAGACAAAAGUUGACGAUGAAUCAGUUAUCUGUGAGGAUAGCCACAUGUAACAAUAAAGCAGACGAUGAGGGCUUAGAAAUGUCUGUGAGGGUCUGAUUAGUCUGUGAGACAGAUAUCUAGGGUAAGCAUCAUGGGCCAUAUUUGGUCUGGUGUUGUUCUUACCAUAUUGAAAUUCUUAUAAUUAUGAACAAGGAGACCCACAAAUCUUGUUGCUAGCCCUGCAGUUACUAUUGCUAAAAUGCAUAGGCACAAUUCUGGGCUAUUUUCAGAUCAAACAGAUGAUGUGGAAAUGGCCCGUGCUUUUUGUUGUUGUUGUUGGUUUUGGUCUUUUCCAUUAGGAGACAGAAUGCAACCAAUUUGCUCAAGAUCAUGCAGUGCUAAAUGUCAAUCAGGAUUUGUGCUCUUGGUACUAUCUGCCUAAUUCCUUCAUCAAACGCACUGCCCUUUCUCCUGCCUUUUUGUCCAUCACCUGCACCUGUUCUCGUAUGUGUGGUCAUGACCUAAGCAUUCCUCUAGUUAUGAAAAAACAAGAGCUAAGGGUGUGUGUGCAACGCAUGGGUCAAAAACACCUUUCUCUUGUUAGGUCGUCCGAACCAUGUCUGGAGUGCCUUCUUUUUCUUCUUCUUCUUUCCACACACCACACCCCCCCUAACUCUUUCAGGUUGUUAUUAUUGUUGUUGUUGUUGAGACAGUCUCAUAUUGCACAGGCUGGCUGCACGGUUGAGACUGGCCUUGAACUGGCCCUGCCUCCAGCCCCCGAGUACUGAGGUUACACUGGUGCACGGCCACGCCACCUGGCCUUCCCUCUGCUCUUCUGCUUUUCUUUCCUUCACACCUCCCUUCAUUUCCCCUUAAACAAGGUUUGUUUGCGGCGUCUAAAAUAACUGCUGCGGAAAGGAAAGAAGCGGGGGAUGACGGUGUUUAUGUUGCGCCUAUGUGUUUUCACAGGUGUUUGCUCCUUUGAGACUUUUCAUGUUGUGUCCUCACAAAUAUCAUAGAACUACAGGUCAGAACUGGGAAGAAUAGUAAAAACCAUCUCUUUGGGGCUGAGCACAGUAGGGCAUACUUGCAGUCCCAACACUUGAGAGGCUAAUGCAAGAGAACCACUGAGUUCAAGGCUAGCUUGAGUUACAUAGUGAGUCCCAGGCUAUAUAACAAGAGACCCUGUCAAAAAAAAAAAAAAAUUUAAUCUCAGUACUUGGGAAGCAGAUCUCUGAGAU